CCGUCACUGGUUGCCGGAGAUGCAGACCAUGUUCCGUCUGUCUUCCCUAUAGGGAUUAUCUCAGUGUCAUAUGACGAAUGGGAUUACAACAUUGAGGCCAGGGUCCGUGAUGCAGUAGCUGUCAUCGCCACGGCAACCUCUACCAUGAUGCUGGACCGGGGACCGCACACGCUGCUGAAGUCUAGCUGCCAGGGGCCACCUGACAAAAAGAUUGCAACCACCGGCUAUUCCA